rnacentral:lncRNA from 1 species
CCCGGUGAUGUGAGGGACCAGAGGCGUGAUCUCAGAGGAGAUCAGAGAGGACAGAGGCAUCAGCGAACUGUAGACUCUGAGCCUGAGAUGUCCAUAGUGGCAGUCACUACCCCCAUGGCCUCACACACCUCUUUGCAAUCAGCCAGCUUUCCUUGACUGAGUUCUUCCUCCCUGCUGCUUUCACCAGCUCCCAGAGUCUGUGCCUGAGCCUCUCCCAGUACUUGGGAGUCUUCUACUGGACACCAUUUGGCUCGGGUGCUGAUUCUGCUCUAGACCUCCUUAAGAAAUGGUUCAUCUCCCGCCAGUUUCCAGGUGGAGCCAAGAAAAAAAGCCACCUGCACCGUCAGACUGUGGCCACGCCCACUCGCAUGACAUCUCUCGCAGGCCACGCCCCGCGCACCUGUGCGCCAGGUUCUGCUGGAGAGAGCGGAGCUGAUUUGGUGUCUUCGGGCAGGACGGACUUGGCUCAGCUGCUGAAAUUAUCUAUGAAAUGCAACGAAGUUCCAGUCUUCAUUCCGGUCUCUGCCUCGACUGAUAACUCGGAGAAACAGUAACGUGCUGUGUGUUUCUGUAUCUUUGCUUGUAGUUGUUUGCAAAUGUUUUCUUACUCUGUUGACUUGUAACACUAUUUAGCGUUAAUGUAGCCGUGCUUUGACACUUUGUAUUUGAAAUGCAUGUUCAUUUUCACUUUGAAGCCUGUGCAUCCGACGUAUUGUAAUGCUUUGUUUUGUAUGCCAUUUUCGCUCAAUAAAUUGUUGAUUG